CGCGGGCGGCUCGGGGCGGCGGGGACGCGCCCUCCCGGGCCCCAUUCAAACGCUGCCAAGGUCUAAUUGAUGAGAAAUGUCCCCAGCAGGUGGGGACGUCUCCUAAGUGUCAACACUGAGCAUGGGCAGACAAUCCAAGUGUCCCUGAGAUGCUGAUCUUCUGGAAGAUGGAGGCAAAGAAUGCAAUGGAAAGGAAGAGGGACGUCUGCCAUUUCAGGACAAACUAAGAGAGGCCUCAGCAAGGACAUGACAUUUGAGGCUCAUCCCCCACCCUUCACCUGGCCCCCCCACAGCUCCUCCAUCAGUUCCUGGGAAGCACUGCCUUGCUUGGCUCACCCCUCCACCAAGGAUCCACUUCAGUUCUGACUCCCAACAGAAGAGCGUGCUCCUGGGUCAGCAUUCUCUGGGGUCCAUGGAGCGGGGUGCAGAGACCAACAAGGGCAAAGGUGAACCAAGCCUGGUGACCUGAGCAGG